rnacentral:rRNA from 1 species
CCUACGGGAGGCUGCAGUGAGGAAUAUUGGUCAAUGGGCGUAAGCCUGAACCAGCCAAGUCGCGUGAGGGAUGAAGGUUCUAUGGAUCGUAAACCUCUUUUAUAAGGGAAUAAAGUGUGGGACGUGUCCUAUUUUGUAUGUACCUUAUGAAUAAGGAUCGGCUAACUCCGUGCCAGCAGCCGCGGUAAUACGGAGGAUCCGAGCGUUAUCCGGAUUUAUUGGGUUUAAAGGGUGCGUAGGCGGCCUUUUAAGUCAGCGGUGAAAGUUUGUGGCUCAACCAUAGAAUUGCCGUUGAAACUGGUGGUAUUGAGUAUGUUUGAGGCAGGCGGAAUGCGUGGGGUAGCGGUGAAAUGCUUAGAUAUCACGCAGAACCCCGAUUGCGAAGGCAGCCUGCCAAGCCAUGACUGACGCUGAUGCACGAAAGCGUGGGGAUCAAACAGGAUUAGAUACCCUUGUAGUC